CUACAAAGGAAGUUGCCGGGGACCCCGCACAAGCGGUGGAGCAUGUGGUUUAAUUCGACGAUACGCGAAGAACCUUACCUGGCCUUGACAUACUAAAAAGCUUUAAGAGAUUAGAGUGUGCUAGCUUGCUAGAAUUUAGAUACAGGUGCUGCACGGCUGUCGUCAGCUCGUGUCGUGAGAUGUUGGGUUAAGUCCCGCAACGAGCGCAACCCUCGUGUUUAGUUGCUAACAGUUCGGCUGAGAACUCUAAACAGACUGCCUACGCAAGUAGGAGGAAGGUGAGGACGACGUCAAGUCAUCAUGGCCCUUACGGCCAGGGCUACACACGUGCUACAAUGGGGUAUACAAAGAGCAGCGAUACGGUGACGUGGAGCAAAUCUAGAAAAUGCCUCUCAGUUCGGAUUGUAGUCUGCAACUCGACUACAUGAAGUUGGAAUCGCUAGUAAUCGUAGAUCCAGCAAUGCUACGGUGAAUACGUUCCCGGGUCUU
rnacentral:rRNA from 1 species